rnacentral:rRNA from 1 species
CACCUACGGGGGGCAGCAGUGAGGAAUAUUGGUCAAUGGGCGGAAGCCUGAACCAGCCAAGUCGCGUGAGGGAAGACGGCCCUACGGGUUGUAAACCUCUUUUGCCGGGGAGCAAUGCCCAGCUCGCGAGCUGGGAAGGAGAGUACCCGGAGAAAAAGCAUCGGCUAACUCCGUGCCAGCAGCCGCGGUAAUACGGAGGAUGCGAGCGUUAUCCGGAUUUAUUGGGUUUAAAGGGUGCGUAGGCGGAAUGCCAAGUCAGCGGUAAAAUCGCGGGGCUCAACCUCGCUCCGCCGUUGAAACUGGCG